rnacentral:tRNA from 1 species
GGGCCCGUAGCGUAGUCAGGAUAUCGCGGCGGUCUUCGGAACCGCAGAUCCCGAGAUCGAAGCUCGGCGGGUCCG